AAACUUACCUGGCUGGGGGUAACUCGUGAUCAAGUAGACGGGUACCCUACGGUGAGGCGUGACCAUUGCACUUUCGGUCACGCUGACCUGUAUGGCAGGUCCGAGUUGGGCUUGGCCAACAGCUACAUUUUUGAGUGAGGGGCUGCGUUCGCGCGGCCCUAC
rfam:Pristionchus pacificus strain PS312 contig7758, whole genome shotgun sequence.